AUGGCUGCAAAAUUAUGGACAAGGAGAUGUCACAAUUUAACUGUUUAUUUGGCAUUAUGCAAGAGCUGGAAUUUUGCAGCAAUGUCUACAAGGUUGUUGAAGGCAAUGUGUGGCAUGAAUUUUGGAUCAAGAACAAGUCUUAGCUUUAGGUUUAGAUUUUCGUUUUCUUGUACAAACACUUGUGUAAGAUUCUUGUGGUAA